rnacentral:rRNA from 1 species
CGAUGAAGCCCUUCGGGGUGGAUUAGUGGCGAACGGGUGAGUAACACGUGGGCAAUCUGCCCUGCACUCUGGGACAAGCCCUGGAAACGGGGUCUAAUACCGGAUACGACACUCUCGGGCAUCCGAUGAGUGUGGAAAGCUCCGGCGGUGCAGGAUGAGCCCGCGGCCUAUCAGCUUGUUGGUGAGGUAACGGCUCACCAAGGCGACGACGGGUAGCCGGCCUGAGAGGGCGACCGGCCACACUGGGACUGAGACACGGCCCAGACUCCUACGGGAGGCAGCAGUGGGGAAUAUUGCACAAUGGGCGCAAGCCUGAUGCAGCGACGCCGCGUGAGGGAUGACGGCCUUCGGGUUGUAAACCUCUUUCAGCAGGGAAGAAGCGCAAGUGACGGUACCUGCAGAAGAAGCGCCGGCUAACUACGUGCCAGCAGCCGCGGUAAUACGUAGGGCGCGAGCGUUGUCCGGAAUUAUUGGGCGUAAAGAGCUCGUAGGCGGCUUGUCGCGUCGGUUGUGAAAGCCCGGGGCUUAACCCCGGGUCUGCAGUCGAUACGGGCAGGCUAGAGUUCGGUAGGGGAGAUCGGAAUUCCUGGUGUAGCGGUGAAAUGCGCAGAUAUCAGGAGGAACACCGGUGGCGAAGGCGGAUCUCUGGGCCGAUACUGACGCUGAGGAGCGAAAGCGUGGGGAGCGAACAGGAUUAGAUACCCUGGUAGUCCACGCCGUAAACGGUGGGCACUAGGUGUGGGCAACAUUCCACGUUGUCCGUGCCGCAGCUAACGCAUUAAGUGCCCCGCC